rnacentral:lncRNA from 1 species
AGCAGCUCUCUUCCCGGCUCUAGCAACUCACAGCAGCCGCCUUUGCACGCACAGAUCUCGGUGUGAAAUCUGGCCUGCUUUCCCGGCCUGCGGGACUUUCCCACUGUGUAAUAAAUACCCGCCAGUGAUAUAUGUCAAGAUUGCAGGAAUACGUUUAGUUGCCUACAGGUUCUCAUACUUGAGACAUAUCCCUCCAUCCACCGCCAUACUUUCUUCAUUCACCGACGCACCGCACGUUGCCAUAAUUUCUGUCGCACGUGCCUCAGGUUCUCGACGGUGUACACGGGGCUUCAUGGGCCGCUCGGACAGAUGGACUAAAAUAGUAGCUAAAUAGACUCCAAAUGGAACCUGAGCAGAGAAAAAGAAGCAGGAGAAGAGGAGGAGAGGAGUAGGAGAGAGAAGAGGAGAAGAGGAGGAGAGAGGAGAAGUGGAGGAGAAGAGUAGGAGAGAGGAGAAGUGGAGAAGUGGAGGAGAGGAGGAGUAGAGGAGAAGUGGAGGAGAGGAGGAGUAGAGGAGAAGUGGAGGAGAAGAGAGGAGUAGAGGAGAAGUGGAGGAGAGGAGGAGUAGAGGAGAAGUGGAGGAGAAGAGUAGGAGAGAGGAGAAGAGGAGGAGAGCGGAGAAGUGGAGGAGAAGGGGAGGAGAGAGGAGAAGAGGAGGAGAGAGGAGAAGUGGAGGAGAAGAGUAGGAGAGAGGAGAAGAGGAGAAGAGGAGGAGUAGAGGAGAAGUGUAGGAGAAGAGUAGGAGAGAGGAGAAGUAGAGGAGUAGAGUAGGAGAGAGGAGAAGAGGAGGAGUAGAGUAGGAGAGAGGAGAAGAGGAGAAGAGGAGAAGAGGAGGAGAGAGUAGGAGAGGAGUAGGAGAAGAGUAGGAGAGAGGAGAAGAGGAGAAGAGGAGGAGAAGAGUAGGAGAGAGGAGAAGAGGAGGAGUAGAGAGGAGAAGAGGAGGAGUAGAGUAGGAGAGAGGAGAAGAGGAGAAGAGGAGGAGAGAGGAGAAGAGGAGGAGAAGAGUAGGAGAGAGGAGACGAGGAGGAGUAGAGUAGGAGAGAGGAGAAGAGGAGAAGAGGAGAAGAGGAGGAGAGAGUAGGAGAGGAGUAGGAGAAGAGUAGGAGAGAGGAGAAGAGGAGAAGAGGAGGAGAAGAGUAGGAGAGAGGAGAAGAGGAGAAGAGGAGGAGAGAGGAGAAGUGGAGGAGUAGAGGAGAAGAGAAGAAGAGGAGAAGAGGAGAAGAAGAGGAGAAGAAGAGGAGAAGAGGAGAAGAAGAGGAGAAGAGGAGGAGAAGUGGGGGAGAAGAUUAGGAGAGAUGGAAAAUCAAUGUCUCCCAGACAGACAGCGGCUAAUGGGCAUCUGAAGUAGAGGAGGACGUUUUCC